ensembl:lncRNA
GGAUUUCUUCCUCUUCUGACCGCUCGGUGAGCAGUCCGCACCCGGAGCUGCUGUCGGAGUGAGGAAUAAUAAUAGCAGCAGCUGUAGGAGUGAGGAAUAAUAAUAGCAGCAGCUGUAGCCGUAACAUUUAUUGAGAGCUUGCUGGGUUCUGGGCAUCGUUCUAAGUGGGUUUCCUAUCAAUUAGCUCAUUUAAUACUUAGCCAUAUUGUGCCGUCGAUUUUUACUUUCAUACAUGCUUUCCAUACCAGCAGCUUCACAGACAGGUGCAGUCACUUGCCCAAGGCCAACACAACUAGUACGCAGCAGAACCUGGUGCCCCACACCCUCGGGCGUCACUCAAGAGUGCGUCCUGGUGCACACAGAAGUUCGCCCUCCAGUUACCUCUCAGUGGUAGAACCAGGUCUCCUGCUCCAGGCUGGGGCUGUCACGUGGCACGGUCAUCCCCCGGUGCACCUAUGAACCUGGGGCAAGUGGAACGCCUGGGCCCAGAUCGUUUAUGGGAAGUUUGCUGUUACCCACAGAGCAGAGAGCAGGGCCCCGAGCCCCAAGAAACAGAAAACAGACGGAGAGUCCUGGGGUAGGCGCCAUUACCCUCCUUUACGGGAUGAAACUGAGGUGGUGCUGGUGACUGGCAACCAGGAAUUUAACUGAAAUCAGUCAGACUCCAGUCCUUUGUUGCAGCAUGCAGGAUUUAGUUCCCUGACCAGGGAUUGAACCCAGGGCCUCUGCAUUGGGAGCGUGGAGUCUUAGCCAUUGGAUCACCAGAGAAAUCUCCGGAACCUCUUUUGUGACUGGACCCUGACUGAUACAGAUGAUUUCCAGAUAAGCGGGAACACAUCAACUUUAUUAAAAUCAGAAGUCAAAGACCCUGUUUUAUAAAUUUUUGCAUAUCCAUAAGGUCUGUCUAGUCAAGGCUAUGGUUUUUCCAGUGGUCAUGUAUGGAUGUGAGAGUUGGACUGUGAAGAAGGCUGAGCGCCAAAGAAUUGGUACUUUUGAACUGUGGUGUUGGAGAAGGCUCUUGAGAGUCCCUUGGACUGCAAGGAGAUCCAACCAGUCCAUUCUGAAGGAGAUCAGCCCUGGGAUUUCUUAGGAGGGAAUGAUGCUGAAGCUGAAACUCCAGUACUCUGGCCGCCUCAUGCGAAGAGUUGACUCACUGGAAAAGACUCUGAUGCUGGGAGGGAUUGGGGCAGGAGGAGAAGGGGACGACAGAGGAUGAGAUGGCUGGAUGGCAUCACCGACUCGAUGGACCUGAGUCUGAGUGAACUCUGGGAGCUGGUGAUGGACAGGGAGGUCUGGCGUGCUGCGGUUCAUGGGGUCGAAAAGAGUCAGACACGACUGAGCGACUGAACUGAACUGAACUAAAGACUGAAUGCUGACUUAUAUAAAUAUUCAGUAAAGGGUUG